AGUAUCCUUCGCAGUCUUCAGUAUCCCAGCAUGCACCGCGCGGCGGCAGUCAGAUGUUCAAAAACACGGAGCGAAAACACGGAGCAAAAAGCCUGUGAGUAGAAAAACAUGGGAAAAGAAGCCCACGGAGUGAUUUAAAGAAGCUGCGAGGAGAAAACUCCACGUUUUCACGGACAGUGUAAACAUGUAAACAGUUGGUCAGUGUAGCUCGGAGCCUCCUGUACGAGGACACAGCACACUGCAGGGGCCACAGAACUGUUGGCUGACAAGAUGCUUGUGAUUCAUAAAAUGGGUCAAAUGCACAUGACAAAGUAAAGUCCACACUGAGCUGGAGGUGCUGACCCAGACUCCUGCCAACGAUUAGGUUUUCACUCUGCAGGACACAACUUUGAAUCAAUCAGACCUAACACCCAUCCUGCUCUUCCUCCUCCAGAAGACGAGAGACACAUCACACUGAGUGGUCCAAGUCCACUGUCCAUGUCUCCAUUGUCCAUGUCCAGAGUCUCUGAGGAGGAGGUCCAGAGUCUUAUAUGAUCUGAACAAGUGUGUGAGACAGAAAUGAAAACAUCUGCUCAUAAGUUUUUCUGAAUGUUUUUCAGUCUGUACUGACAUUUGAUUUAUGGUGAAAUGUGCCGUUUAUUUGGUGUCUCUUUUGAUAGUAACUAAUUACAUGUACUAUAAGAAUGUACUAUUGUACUGCAGUUAAAGCAGUGAUGUUCUACAUGAUCAUAUUUGGCAAAGAUAAUUUGUUCAUUUUUGAUUGUCACUUGCUUCAGUAAAAAGGGAACACAAUGAGAUUUACUGACAUACAGCUGUUUGUACUAACCUGUUAAUGCAGAGUGUGUGUGUGUGUGUGUGUGUGUAAUGGGUUUAAUAUUUGACUUAAUAUUAUGAUAAAGUAUUUCCAGAAGUUCCUUGGAUUGUUUAAUAAACCAGCUUUUCUCAGGAGA